CGCAGGUAGAUUUGUUACUGUUUCCGACCACCUUAAUUUGAUGUGUCUUAGCACGUAAGACGUACAUAUUACACAUGUUAACUAUGUGGCCCAUGUAAAGAAGAGCUUAUAAUAAAGGGUUUCAGACCUGCAUCUGCUCAUCCAUCAAAUGAACAAUGUCUUCCCCUUUCUCUCUCUCUCAACUCUCUUUCUUGUUUUCAUCAUAAUUCAUCAAACACAUUAGCUCAC
rnacentral:lncRNA from 1 species